rnacentral:rRNA from 1 species
UGGGGAAUAUUGCACAAUGGGCGCAAGCCUGAUGCAGCCAUGCCGCGUGUAUGAAGAAGGCCUUCGGGUUGUAAAGUACUUUCAGCGGGGAGGAAGGGAGUAAAGUUAAUACCUUUGCUCAUUGACGUUACCCGCAGAAGAAGCACCGGCUAACUCCGUGCCAGCAGCCGCGGUAAUACGGAGGGUGCAAGCGUUAAUCGGAAUUACUGGGCGUAAAGCGCACGCAGGCGGUUUGUUAAGUCAGAUGUGAAAUCCCCGGGCUCAACCUGGGAACUGCAUCUGAUACUGGCAAGCCUGAGUCUCGUAGAGGGGGGUAGAAUUCCAGGUGUAGCGGUGAAAUGCGUAGAGAUCUGGAGGAAUACCGGUGGCGAAGGCGGCCCCCUGGACGAAGACUGACGCUCAGGUGCGAAAGCGUGGGGAGCAAACAGG